rnacentral:tRNA from 58 species
CGCGGGGUGGAGCAGCCCGGUAGCUCGUCAGGCUCAUAACCUGAAGGUCACAGGUUCAAAUCCUGUCCCCGCACCCA